AUGGUCUCAGAGGCGCAUAACAACCGUGCGGAGUACGACAAGUCUUUGCAUGAAGCGCGUCGGGAGAUCGACUUGAAGGUGCAAAAGGAUCGCGAUGAGGUAGAUAAGAAACUCAAAAAAGAACGUUCAUACGUGGACAGGAUGAUAAAGGAGGAGCGUGAGGAGUUUUCCCGUAAGAUGGCGAAGAUGCGUCUUGAGAUUGAAGAAAAGUAUAAGCGGGACUGUAAUGACAUGGAAAAAAAGUUUUUCCUUGGCUACAAGGAAAUGCAUCAAACGUUUCAGAAGGACCGGAAGCUUGUGGACAGUAUUAUACAGACAGAGCGAGUCAGGAUGGAUGCCUAUGUGUUGCAGGCACGUGCGGAUAUGGACAAUAAGCUGCUAUAG
rnacentral:rRNA from 1 species